GUAAUAGUUAACGGCCCUGUCAUGUCGUGUUCUAUUUCCAAUGGGUCAACCAUAUUGGUCUCACCAAUUAUCCUGACUUUUGAACAUGGACAGGCAAACUUCAUCAAGGCUACAUGCAACUACUGGAAGUUUAGUAGUCCAGGGUACUGGGCUAGUGACGGUUGCAGGUUUCGAGCUUCAAAUGAUACAAUAACUGUCUGUGAAUGUGACCAUCUCACCAACUUCGCUGUCCUCAUGAGUCCUUUUGU